rnacentral:rRNA from 1 species
CUGGCGGCGUGCCUAAUACAUGCAAGUCGAGCGAGCUGAAUUCAAAGAUUCCUUCGGGAUGAUUUGUUGGACGCUAGCGGCGGAUGGGUGAGUAACACGUGGGCAAUCUGCCCUAAAGACUGGGAUACCACUUGGAAACAGGUGCUAAUACCGGAUAACAACAUGAAUCGCAUGAUUCAAGUUUGAAAGGCGGCGUAAGCUGUCACUUUAGGAUGAGCCCGCGGCGCAUUAGCUAGUUGGUGGGGUAAAGGCCUACCAAGGCAAUGAUGCGUAGCCGAGUUGAGAGACUGAUCGGCCACAUUGGGACUGAGACACGGCCCAAACUCCUACGGGAGGCAGCAGUAGGGAAUCUUCCACAAUGGACGCAAGUCUGAUGGAGCAACGCCGCGUGAGUGAAGAAGGUUUUCGGAUCGUAAAGCUCUGUUGUUGGUGAAGAAGGAUAGAGGCAGUAACUGGUCUUUAUUUGACGGUAAUCAACCAGAAAGUCACGGCUAACUACGUGCCAGCAGCCGCGGUAAUACGUAGGUGGCAAGCGUUGUCCGGAUUUAUUGGGCGUAAAGCGAGCGCAGGCGGAAUGAUAAGUCUGAUGUGAAAGCCCACGGCUCAACCGUGGAACUGCAUCGGAAACUGUCAUUCUUGAGUGCAGAAGAGGAGAGUGGAAUUCCAUGUGUAGCGGUGGAAUGCGUAGAUAUAUGGAAGAACACCAGUGGCGAAGGCGGCUCUCUGGUCUG